CCUACGGGAGGCUGCAGUGGGGAAUAUUGCGCAAUGGGGGAAACCCUGAUGCAGCGACGCCGCGUGAGCGAUGAAGUCUUUCGGUUUGUAAAGCUCUAUCAGCAGGGAGGAAAAUGACGAUACCUGAAUACGAAACCCCUGCUAACUACGUGCCAGCAGCCACGGUAAUACGUCGGGGGCAAGCGUUCUCCGGAUUUACUGGUGGUAAAGGGAGCCUAAACGGUCCGUUAAGCAAGAUGUGAAAGCCCGGGGCUCAACCCCGGGAUUGCAUUUGGAACUGUAAGGCUAGAGUAGCGGAGAGGCAGGUGGAAUUCCUAGUGUAGCGGUGAAAUGCGUAGAGAUGAGGAGGAAAAC
rnacentral:rRNA from 1 species